rnacentral:misc_RNA from 1 species
GAUGAAGAACGUAGCGAAAUGCGAUCAGUAGUGUGAAUUGCAGAAUUCAGUGAAUCAUCGAAUCUUUGAACGCACAUUGCGCCCCUUGGUAUCCCGAGGGGCAUGCCUGUUCGAGCGUCAUUUCACCACUCAAGCCUGGCUUGGUGUUGGGCGACGUCCCCUUUGGGGACGCGCCUCGAAACGCUCGGCGGCGUGGCACCGGCUUUAAGCGUAGCAGAAUCUUUCGCUUUGGAAGUCGGGGCCCCGUCUGCCGGAAGACCUACUCGCAAGGUUGACCUCGGAUCAGGCAGGGAUACCCGCUGAACUUAAGCAUAUCAAUAAGCGGAGGA